rnacentral:rRNA from 1 species
CUACGGGAGGCAGCAGUAGGGAAUCUUGCGCAAUGGGCGAAAGCCUGAUCCAGCCAUGCCGCGUGGGUGAAGAAGGCCCUAGGGUUGUAAAUCCCUUUCAGCGGGGAAGAUAAUGACGGUACCCGCAGAAGAAGCCCCGGCUAACUCCGUGCCAGCAGCCGCGGUAAUACGGAGGGGGCUAGCGUUGUUCGGAAUUACUGGGCGUAAAGCGCACGUAGGCGGGCUGUUAAGUCAGUGGUGAAAUCCCGGGGCUCAACCUCGGAAUUGCCUUUGAUACUGGCAGCCUUGAGUCCGGAAGAGGUGAGUGGAAUUCCGAGUGUAGAGGUGAAAUUCGUAGAUAUUCGGAGGAACACCAGUGGCGAAGGCGGCUCACUGGUCCGGUACUGACGCUGAGGUGCGAAAGCGUGGGGAGCAAACAGGAUUAGAAACCCCUGUAGUCC